rnacentral:rRNA from 1 species
UACGAAGGGGGCUAGCGUUGCUCGGAAUUACUGGGCGUAAAGCGCACGUAGGCGGCUUGUUAAGUCAGGGGUGGAAUCCUGGAGCUCAACUCCAGAACUGCCUUUGAUACUGGCGAGCUUGAGUUCGGGAGAGGUGAGUGGAACUGCGAGUGUAGAGGUGAAAUUCGUAGAUAUUCGCAAGAACACCAGUGGCGAAGGCGGCUCACUGGCCCGAUACUGACGCUGAGGUGCGAAAGCGUGGGGAGCAAACAGG